CUAUAUUUUCUAGGAGCCUACCUUUACUUAGCCUCACAACAUGGGCCUUAGCUUUAGCACUUAAUCUGCACAAAUACCUGGCUUAAGUGUUAUGACUGACUGGCUAUUCAACCAAACCAUACAAAUGACCAAUUCGGUAAGAAAGCAUGAACUUCAGUGUUGAACCAAAUCAACCAGCCUCCUCAAUCCAAAUGGAGGAGGAGAAGGAGGAGGGAGAAGAUGAGGAGUAGAGAAAUAUUGUGCCUCUGAGAAAAUUUCAGCGUGGUUCACUGUGGCGAGGAUAACAAAGGAAGCUGAGGAAGUCUGUUCUGGAGGCACCAUGACAAAGCACCAGACAGAAAGCAGUCACGUGUGGGGAGAUGAGCAGAGACACCACUUCUCAAGCACCUGAUUAUUCUUUCUCAGUAUUUAGAAGCAAAAAUUAUCCUUAAGAAAAACAACCGCAAACGCAACACAGGCUACACAGAUGAGAAGAUGGGGUAAGAUGGGGAUUGAGAAAAUUGAAGGGCAACUUGAUAACGAAGUU
rnacentral:lncRNA from 1 species